rnacentral:tRNA from 21 species
GCGCUCGUAGCUCAGCUGGAUAGAGUACCUGGCUACGAACCAGGCGGUCAGAGGUUCGAAUCCUCUCGGACGCGCCA